UUAGCCCAACACCGAAGCCUGCGGUUGUUUGAUCGUGAGGCAAUGUGGUGUUUAGGUUGGCUUCUGGCAUUACUGCUCUUCCCCAAGUCCAGCAAUGAGUACGGCUUCCCAUUCUGGCCCAUAGAGGGUGAAAGGCCCGUGGGGGUAGAGACCAAGUGUGACAGUUCUGCUCAGAGCUCCCCUUAGAGUCGGGUUGUUUGUGAAUGCAGCCCAAAGUGGGUGGUAGACUCCAUCCAAGGCUAAAUACUUACACGAGUCCGAUAGCAAACAAGUACCGUGAGGGAAAGUUGAAAAGUACUUUGAAGAGAGAGUAAACAGUGCGUGAAACCGCUCAAAGGUAAACGGGUGGAGUUGAACUGCAAGCCCUGGGAAUUCAGCUGAUGAGUGUGAUUUGUGCUUGGGCAUACUGGCCGCCUUCAGUGUCCGUUUAACCGCGGGUGCCUGCCUUAUCGGUGGGUGUGUGUGAAUCGUUUGCAAGCGACGCACGCACUGUUGGUGUGAGGGUCUGCUUGUCAGUGCACUUUCUCAGGGUGUUCACCACGACCGGCGCUGCUGCCUGUCUGCUAUGAUCAAACUGGUCGAGUCUGGCAUUGUUGGGCUUGGCUGGGUCGGCAGGUGACUCUUUGGCUCAUUCGUGGGCCGUGAGUGUUACUAGCUGGUUGUAGUGGAUCUGUGCGGUGUGUCGGAGAUGGCGGCUUCGCAUGCGUGCUUAGACCUGCGGACAUUGUUGAGUCUGGUCGGUUUGUUACUGGCUUCGGCUGGUCGGCUGAUGGCUUGAUUUUGUUGCGUUGGCAGUUGCGUGUGUGAACGGCUUGGGCCCAUAGUCUGUGGUGUAGUGGUAGACGAUCCACCUGACCCGUCUUGAAACACGGACCAAGGAGUUUAACAUGUGCGCGAGUCAUUGGGUGUUACGAAACCCAAAGGCGAAGUGAAGGUAAAGGUUCGGCUUGUCCGGGCUGA
rnacentral:rRNA from 1 species